GGUGGCUCUGUGGUAGAGUCCUUGCCUCACAUGCAUGAGGCCCUGAGUUCGAUUCCUCAGCACCA
rnacentral:tRNA from 1 species